AGUCGAGCGGACAGAUGGGAGCUUGCUCCCUGAUGUUAGCGGCGGACGGGUGAGUAACACGUGGGUAACCUGCCUGUAAGACUGGGAUAACUCCGGGAAACCGGGGCUAAUACCGGAUGGUUGUUUGAACCGCAUGGUUCAAACAUAAAAGGUGGCUUCGGCUACCACUUACAGAUGGACCCGCGGCGCAUUAGCUAGUUGGUGAGGUAACGGCUCACCAAGGCAACGAUGCGUAGCCGACCUGAGAGGGUGAUCGGCCACACUGGGACUGAGACACGGCCCAGACUCCUACGGGAGGCAGCAGUAGGGAAUCUUCCGCAAUGGACGAAAGUCUGACGGAGCAACGCCGCGUGAGUGAUGAAGGUUUUCGGAUCGUAAAGCUCUGUUGUUAGGGAAGAACAAGUACCGUUCGAAUAGGGCGGUACCUUGACGGUACCUAACCAGAAAGCCACGGCUAACUACGUGCCAGCAGCCGCGGUAAUACGUAGGUGGCAAGCGUUGUCCGGAAUUAUUGGGCGUAAAGGGCUCGCAGGCGGUUUCUUAAGUCUGAUGUGAAAGCCCCCGGCUCAACCGGGGAGGGUCAUUGGAAACUGGGGAACUUGAGUGCAGAAGAGGAGAGUGGAAUUCCACGUGUAGCGGUGAAAUGCGUAGAGAUGUGGAGGAACACCAGUGGCGAAGGCGACUCUCUGGUCUGUAACUGACGCUGAGGAGCGAAAGCGUGGGGAGCGAACAGGAUUAGAUACCCUGGUAGUC
rnacentral:rRNA from 1 species